rnacentral:tRNA from 1 species
GGAAGGUUCCGGCCUGCGGAGGCCAGCUGGUCUUGAACACCAGAGGGGCGUUUCGGCGUUGGGGUUCGACUCCUCAACCUUCCA